rnacentral:rRNA from 1 species
UACGUAGGGUGCAAGCGUUAAUCGGAAUUACUGGGCGUAAAGCGUGCGCAGGCGGCUUUGCAAGACAGAUGUGAAAUCCCCGGGCUUAACCUGGGAACUGCAUUUGUGACUGCAUGGCUGGAGUGCGGCAGAGGGGGAUGGAAUUCCGCGUGUAGCAGUGAAAUGCGUAGAUAUGCGGAGGAACACCAGCGGCGAAGGCGGCGCUCUGGGCCGGAACUGACGCUGAGGAGCGAAAGCGUGGGUAGCAAACAGG